rnacentral:rRNA from 1 species
AGAGCGUAUGGUGGAUGCCUUGGCACUAAGAGCCGAUGAAAGACGUGAUAAGCUGCGAAAAGCUUCGGGGAGGAGCACAUAUCCAAUGAUCCGGAGAUAUCUGAAUGGGGAAACCCGGCAGAGGAAACCUCUGUCAGCGUGCAGUGAAUACAUAGCUGUACGUGGGGAACCCGGGGAACUGAAACAUCUAAGUACCCGGAGGAAGAGAAAGAAAAUUUAUCGAUUUCCAAAGUAGCGGCGAGCGAAAUGGAAAGAGCCCAAACCGUGAUGCGUGCAUCGCGGGGUUCGGACUGCGUUGUGGCAGACGUAAGAUAGGAGAACGGACUGGGAAGUCCGGCCGGAGAGAGUGAAAGCCUCGUAUCCGAAAUCCCAAGUCGCCUAGCAGGAUCCAGAGUAGGACGAGACACGAGAAACCUUGUCUGAACGAGCGGGGACCACCCCGUAAGGCUAAAUACUUCUUAGUGACCGAUAGCGCAUAGUACUGUGAAGGAAAGGUGAAAAGUACCCCGGGAGGGGAGUGAAAGAGAACCUGAAACCCUGUGUCUACAAGCUGUGGGACCUCUUUAUAUGAGGGACUGCGUACUUUUUGUAGAACGGUCCGGCGAGUUGUGCGUACUGGCGAGGUUAAGGACUUAAGGUCUGGAGCCGAAGUGAAAGCAAGCGUUAAUAGCGCGUCAAGUCAGUGAGUGCAGACCCGAAACCGGGUGACCUAUCCAUGUCCAGGUUGAAGCUUCCGUAAGAGGAAGUGGAGGACCGAACCCACAUCCGUUGAAAAGGGUGGGGAUGAGGUGUGGAUAGCGGAGAAAUUCCAAUCGAACCCGGAGAUAGCUGGUUCUCCCCGAAAUAGCUUUAGGGCUAGCGUCGAGGUAAGUUGCGUGAAGGUAGAGCACUGAAUAUGUGAUGGCCCCAUCUCGGGGUACUGAGCAUAAUCAAACUGCGAAUGUCACGCCAACAUGCUCGGCAGUCAGACAGCGGGUGAUAAGGUCCGUUGUCAAGAGGGAAACAGCCCAGACCAUCAGCUAAGGUCCCAAAAUGUAUGCUAAGUGGAAAAGGAUGUGGAGAUGUACAGACAACUAGGAGGUUGGCUCAGAAGCAGCCAUCCUUUAAAGAGUGCGUAACAGCUCACUAGUCGAAUGACUCUGCGCCGAUAAUUUACCGGGGCUAAGCAUACUACCGAAGCUAUGGAUCCCAAGGGAUGGUAGGGGAGCGUUCCAUGAACGGAGAAGCGCGAUCGAGAGGACGCGUGGAGAUCAUGGAAGAGAGAAUGCCGGUGUGAGUAGCGGAACGUGGGUGAGAAUCCCACGCACCGAAAACCCAAGGUUUCCAGAGGAAGGUUCGUCCGCUCUGGGUAAGUCGGGACCUAAGGCGAGGCCGAAAGGCGUAGUCGAUGGACAACAGGUAGAGAUUCCUGUACUCAUAUAUAUGUGAAGGAAUGACGGAGAGAGGAAGCUGCAGCCAGCGGCUGGAAGAGCUGGUGCAAGCGAGAUAUCGGGAUGGCAGGCAAAUCCACCAUCCGAAACGAGAAGGCGUGAAGCGUACGGAAAGCUAAGGCGAGUACGGAAGGCAGUGGAGGAGCUUCCAAGAAAAGUUUCUAACGAAAGUAUAUGUGACCCGUACCGAAAAUGGACACACAUGGGUGAGGAGAGAAUCCUAAGGUGAGCGAGAGAACUAUAGCUAAGGAACUCUGCAAAAUGACUCCGUAACUUAGGGAGAAGGAGUGCUCAUAGAGAUAUGAGCCGCAGUGAAACGGCCCAAGCGACUGUUUACCAAAAACACAGCUCUCUGCUAAAUCGAAAGAUGACGUAUAGGGGGUGACGCCUGCCCGGUGCUGGAAGGUUAAGAGGAGGAGUGAGAGCCCCGAAUCGAAGCCCCAGUAAACGGCGGCCGUAACUAUAACGGUCCUAAGGUAGCGAAAUUCCUUGUCAGGUAAGUUCUGACCCGCACGAAAGGCGUAAUGAUUUGGGCACUGUCUCGACAAUGUACCCGGCGAAAUUGUAGUACUAGUGAAGAUGCUAGUUACCUGCGACAAGACAGAAAGACCCCAUGGAGCUUUACUGCAGCUUGAUACUGGGUUUUGGUAAUUUAUGUACAGGAUAGGUGGGAUACGAAGAAGCAAGUGCGCCAGCAUUUGUGGAGUAGACGUUGGGAUACCACUCUUAAAUUAUUGAAAUUCUAACCUGUGAUCAUGAACUGGUCAGGGGACAAUGUCAGGCGGGCAGUUUGACUGGGGCGGUCGCCUCCUAAAGAGUAACGGAGGCGCCCAAAGGUUUCCUCAGCACGGACAGAAAUCGUGCAAAAGAGUGUAAAGGCAGAAGGAAGCUUAACUGGGAGACUGACAAGUCGAGCAGAUACGAAAGUAGGGCUUAGUGAUCCGGCGGUAGUGAGUGGAAAUGCCGUCGCUCAACGGACAAAAGUUACCCUGGGGAUAACAGGCUUAUCUCCCCCAAGAGUUCACAUCGACGGGGAGGUUUGGCACCUCGAUGUCGGCUCAUCGCAUCCUGGAGCGGAAGUACGUUCCAAGGGUUGGGCUGUUCGCCCAUUAAAGCGGUACGCGAGCUGGGUUCAGAACGUCGUGAGACAGUUCGGUCCUUAUCUGUCGCAGGCGUAGGAUAUUUGAAGGGAGCUGUCCUUAGUACGAGAGGACCAGGAUGGACAUACCGAUGGUGUAUCAGUUGUCACACCAGUGGCACGGCUGAGUAGCUAAGUAUGGAAGGGAUAAACGCUGAAAGCAUCUAAGUGUGAAGCCCACCUUAAGAUAAGAUAUCCCAUUGC